rnacentral:rRNA from 1 species
AUGGACCGUGAGGCCCAGCUUUCGCAUAGGCCCCAGGUGGUCCACUACACAACUUGGAACGGGCGGGCCAGCAGUAGCACACCUAGACCAAACCCGCAGCACUACAACAGCGUUCACAUCACCUUAAUGCCCCCACUCGAUGAUGCAUCGUCAAGUACACCAUCGGUUGCAGGUGGCUCAACAAGCAGCUUAUCAGAUGCAUUUUUGGUAGAAGAAGCUUCUGCUGAUUGCCAACCUGUGAUGUCCCCAGAUCCAGAGCAUUAUCCAGUCAACCUUCUGAUGAUAGAUCAAUCAUCUGCAUUUUAUGAACACCGACGGCGUCUUCAUCUCCAACCUCACGCUCCUGAACUCGCCGGCGUGGAACAUCCACCCGGUGUAGAGCGUCUUCUGGAUGACCGGCGACUACAAGUCCCACCCCGAGUCAAGACGGCCGUGCCCGUGGUGGAGAACAUCAGCUACCAGGACGUGGUGGCCACCGACGUAUGGAAGGAGGCGGCGAGGAUGCAGGGCAUCCAGGGCGCGCCCUUCAAGGGCAUUUGCAUGGCCAACGUCACCGCAGAGAUGACCAAGGAUCAGAGAAGGUGUCAUGGAACUGCGCUGACGUCGAGGGCGUCUCGGCCGGCGUCACCCCGGCGCCAUGCGCGCUGCUGCAGGGCAGCCACGGCGGCGCCUGCCCAUUCCCCACCGACACGCUCGCCGUCAACCAGAUCACACUGCAACAGUGCUCAUACUCGAUCGCACCGGCUGCUUCUUCAGUGGCUGGGACAGAGUAGCUCAACUAUAUAG